rnacentral:rRNA from 1 species
CCUACGGGAGGCAGCAGUGGGGAAUAUUGCACAAUGGGCGCAAGCCUGAUGCAGCAACGCCGCGUGAGGGACGACGGCCUUCGGGUUGAAACCUCUUUUAGCAGGGAAGCGGUACCUGCAGAAAAAGCGCCGGCUAACUACGUGCCAGCAGCCGCGGUAAUACGUAGGGCGCAAGCGUUAUCCGGAAUUAUUGGGCGUAAAGAGCUCGUAGGCGGUUUGUCGCGUCUGCUGUGAAAUCCGGAGGCUCAACCUCCGGCCUGCAGUGGGUACGGGCAGACUAGAGGGCGGUAGGGGAGAUUGGAAUUCCUGGUGUAGCGGUGGAAUGCGCAGAUAUCAGGAGGAACACCGAUGGCGAAGGCAGAUCUCUGGGCCGUACUGACGCUGAGGAGCGAAAGGGUGGGGAGCAAACAGGCUUAGAUACCCUUGUAGUC